rnacentral:rRNA from 1 species
GGCCAGACUCCUACGGGAGGCAGCAGUGGGGAAUAUUGCACAAUGGGGGAAACCCUGAUGCAGCGACGCCGCGUGAGUGAAGAAGUAUUUCGGUAUGUAAAGCUCUAUCAGCAGGGAAGAAAAUGACGGUACCUGACUAAGAAGCCCCGGCUAACUACGUGCCAGCAGCCGCGGUAAUACGUAGGGGGCAAGCGUUAUCCGGAUUUACUGGGUGUAAAGGGAGUGUAGGUGGCAUAACAAGUCAGAAGUGAAAGCCCGGGGCUCAACCGCGGGACUGCUUUUGAAACUGUGUGACUGGAGUGCAGGAGAGGUAAGCGGAAUUCCUGGUGUAGCGGUGAAAUGCGUAGAUAUCAGGAGGAACACCAGUGGCGAAGGCGGCUUACUGGACUGUAACUGACGUUGAGGCUCGAAAGCGUGGGGAGCAAACAGGAUUAGAUACCCCUGUA